UACAGAGGGUGCAAGCGUUGUUCGGAAUUAUUGGGCGUAAAGGGCGCGUAGGCGGUGCGGUAAGUCUGUAGUGAAAUCUCUGGGCUCAACUCAGAGUCUGCUAUAGAAACUGCCGUGCUUGAGUGUGGGAGAGGUGAGUGGAAUUCCCGGUGUAGCGGUGAAAUGCGUAGAUAUCGGGAGGAACAUCGGUGGCGAAGGCGGCUCUCUGGACCACAACUGACGCUGAGGCUCGAAAGCCAGGGGAGCAAACAGGG
rnacentral:rRNA from 1 species